ACAUAGACCGAAAUGUCCGGUACAAAGGCAUCAGAAAAUCGGGCACCAUGUCUUCUUCUUCAUUUUGAAGAAAAUACCCCUCGUGGGUGACGAAUUACAUUACAUAAAUAUUUUACGAGCACUGACUUACCCCUCUCGACGUUUUGACAGUUUGUCUGUUUGUUUUUCUCCCUCACCUUAUUAUGGCGUCGUCGUUUAGAUUUUGCAUCGUGUAUUGAGAAACUGUCAAAAAUAAAAAUUUUAUCAAGCGCAGUUGGAUUUUCCCGGUACACCUUCUGAAAAGGCCAAAUUGCGGAAACGGGACUCAACCAGGAUAUCACCAGCCGGAAGCUGCUUACGACCACGAAAGAUGCGGACGCGGAACUCAUGUGGAAUCGAAAGGAAUAUAGAGGACUAGGAAUUCCAGCACAGUCCCACAAAGGCAGCGUCGAACUUGAUAAAUUCACCGGAACCGGCGGGUGUUGUUAACCAUCUUUCUUCGGAUAGCAAUAUUAAAUUGGUAUAACGGAUUCAUACCAGCCACCUUCAGAAUUCCAUCACUGGCUCCGAAAAUUGCUUUUGUCGCCUGCUAAUACUGCAUUCAAAACAUUUCGGUGAUCUGCUGAAUCAAAUAAUACCACAUAAGCCGCCUGCGGGACAGCAACGGAUCAAAGUGAAUAAAAAAACUAUUACUUUUAGCGCAGUGCCAGACUCUUAGACCGUUGACCGGCUGCAGAAUGAUACAGUGCGUGAGAAUAUGGACACAUUGAAUCUUCCGGCAUACAAUCCGAUCUGCUGCCGUCGGACAGGUGCCUCGAUCUUCUCCUGAAUACAUUCUAGGAACACUGCAUAGAGCCUGACCGGUGCGCCUGCUGAUCCCGCCAGCGUUUCCGGAACGCUAUGAAUUGCGGAAGAAAACUGAUUCCUACCGAAUUAGCAGCAUACGUAUUGGGAAUCUUUUUCGAAAGGGAAAAUAGGCCAGCCAGCAGUGUGAUCUCUUGGUAAACCAGCAGCAGCGGAUUCCCACUGAUCUACCUGGAGUUUCUGGAACGCAAUGGAAUGCACGAAGAGAAGGAUUUUUACCAAAUCAGGACACGCUGAACUUGUUCCGUAUACAUACAUCAUUUUCGAAGGGUGGUGGGGAACUCGGCGCAGACUUCUACCGUAGCAAUGCGCAUCGGAAGCAUAAGGAAACUGGAAGCAGCAGCUCUUGGUCCCCAUAACCGUCCAUGUAAUCAAUGAGAUGCGGAUGGUAACAUCAUCAACAGAACUGGCAGGCAACAACCGUGGAACCAGAUGUAAAUCAUCACCAUCCUACAUACAUCGUGAAGCAAGCAGGAAUGCUGUCGGAUCAUAUUUUGCAUCAGCAGCGUAUUAGCACAACAUAAAACGCGGCUUCUACUCUGUUAAAAAACAAUAUUGAGGGAAAAAUAUACAUAUUUAAACAAAUAUCGUACACGCCCCCGCAUGUCCCUGGUUGCUGUGGCAUCCUCAUCUUUGAUGGCUCAUUCUUUCUACAGGUCUAAUCGGUGAUGCAUAGUUUUCUCUAUAGCUGAUAGGAAAAUGUCUGGUAGCAAAUAGCAAGCCUCGAUAAAAUUUACUAUAUUUCCGUAAACGCAUAAUAGUUGGAUUUAAAAAAUUAUCGAAUGACUAGGUAAAACCGUAACUGCUUCCAGACAUUGAACUGAAAUUCCGUUCUUAGCAAACCAUGAAACUUUGGUAACCAAUACCUUCUUCUUCUUAUUGGCAUUACACCCCACACUGGGACAGAGCCGCCUCGCAGCUUAGUGUUCAUUAAGCACUUCCACAGUUAUUAGUGAGCUAGCUACCAAUCAACCAAGCAAUCAAUUCACCAUUCAAGCAAUCAAUAAAACUACUAAUCAACUAAACAAGCAACUAACCAAUCGAGCAACCAACCAUUCAAGCCCACUUCCAAUCACUCAAGCAACCAAUUAACCAAUCAAGCAACUAAUCAAUCAACCAACCCAUCAAUUAAGCAACAAACCAAUCAACCAACCAAUCAAUCAUUUAGGCAAGCUACCAAAGAACUAACCAACCAAUAAACCAAUUAGGCAACCAACCUACCAAGCAACUACCAAUCAAGUAACCAACCAUUCAGAAAACUAACAAAUCAAGCAGGGGCCCUCCUUAGCCGUGCGGUAGGAGGCGCGGCUACAAAGCAAGACCAUGCUGAGGGUGGCUGGGUUCAAUUCCCGGUGCCGGUCUAGGCAAUUUUCGGAUUGAAAAUUGUCUCGACUUCCCUGGGCAUAAAAGUAUCAUCGUGUUAGCCUCAUGAUAUACGAAUGUAAAAAUGGUAACCUGGCUUAGAAACCUCGUAGUUAAUAACUGUGGAAGUGCUUAAUGAACACUAAGCUGCGAGGCGGCUCUGUCCCAGUGUGGGGAUGUAAUGCCAUUAAGUAGAAGAAGAAGAAGAAGAUGGGUGAUAUUUUUAUGUUUGAAUUUCUACAAAUAAAUAUAAAGCAAAAUAUUUGAUGGUUUACCUAGUAGAAUCUUUUAUUGGUUUGAUUUCAGGCUCAUUUCAUUUGUCAUUAUAUAGUAUGAUCCAAUGAUCAUUUUUCAAACCUUCAUGUUGCCGGAUACUUAGCUACACUACUACAUAAUCUUCAGCUGGAACCGAUUGUAAUAUGCCAGAACAUUCCUCAGCAGCAACAUUAUAUAGUUUCGAAUAACCGAAAUAGGUACCGGAAGCUCUAAAAUGCUGAUGUGGAAGUUUGACGACUAGGGCUUCCAUUUUUCCCGGGAAUCAACUUCCCGGGAAACGGGAAAUGAAAUAAUAAUUUCCCGGGAUCCCGGGAAAAAAAAAUCUCGAAACUAAAUUCAAAAUCGUAGUUUGAAUUUUGUGGUAAAGGUUGGUAUCGUGUUCAAAAGAAAUUUCUUUUUCUAUCCCAAACCCAUGUUAAAUUCCGUUUACUGAAUCGGAAAAGUAAAAAAUUUAAAUGAAAUUUCUUCACCAGUAUCCACCUGAAAAGAACAAAAAUCAAAAAGGGAAUUUGUAAGGUUCCCACGCAAACUAAUGGGAGCUGUCACUUUACUUUCGGAAAAAUAGUCUGCUCGAUUAUUCCGCAAGUAAAAGUGACAUUUUGCUCCAUGCCGAUCAGUUGUCAAAAUUCUGCUUGGUAAUAUUGAACAAAAUUCCGUAACCUCUCUACUUUUUAAGUGGAUACUGGGCUUAAAAUAUGAUUUUGAAAAUAUAUCAGGGAGGCUUGCUAUUUUGUCCUCAAAUGAUGCCUGAGAAUGUUUCUUCAGUUCGAAAAGCCUUAACUCCUUCUACAUAACGUUCGCCAUGUCAUAAGUAUCAGCAUCUGCUCUGGCUCAAGAGUAAGAUCUGCAGUGUCCUGAUGAGCUCCACUAUGUGCCACUUUUCCAUAAUUUUUUCAAAAACUUUUUCAGGUUGUAUCCGCAUUUUAUUUCAGUUUUUGGACAACGACGGCUUCGAGAGAUUCUCUUCUAUUAUCGCCAAAAUAUUCCUAACAUGAACUAUUCUUAUACUCGACGACUUUUUUUAGUUCAUGGAAUCUUCUGGUCAGGUUUGAAGGAUAAACCAUUGACAGUUCUCAAAUGAACUGCUGUCAAAAAUUAGGUUACCAAUGAUGCUGACAGCCAGACUGGCAGCCCUUUGAUUUAUUUCAAAUUUAUUUCAAAUUUAUGGCAAAUUUAAAUUGGAAAAUUUCACACAACGUAGGGUAGAAAUAGAACGAAAUAAUAAAUAAUUUAGUUAGUUAGAGUCAAACCGCCAAAAGUGAAGUACCUCAAUAAAGGUCCCGCAAUAUCUCGAAAAGAUUUCUUUUAGUUAAAAUAUAGUUAUUAUUUAUUAUUUAUUUAUUCAGUUAACAUCUAAACAGAUAACACUGAAUCAACAAUUUGACGCCACAAUACACGGUUCGAGGCCGCAUCUCUCCAUCCUCGGAUACGCCCCACGCUCGCCAAGUCGUUUUGCACCUGGUCUGCCCAUCUCGCUCGCUGCGCUCCACGCCGUCUCGUACCUGCCGGAUUAGAAGCGAACACCAUCUAUGCAGGGUUGCUGUCCGGCAUUCUUGCAACAUGUCCUGCCCAUCGUACCCUUCCGGCUUUAGCUACCUUCUGGAUACUGGGUUCGCCGUAGAGUUGGGCGAGCUCAUGGUUCAUUCUUCGCCGCCACACACCGUCUUCUUGCACACCGCCAAAGAUGGUCCUAAGCACCCGUCUCUCGAAUACUCCGAGUGCUUGCAAGUCCUCCUCGAGCAUUGUCCAUGUUUCAUGUCCGUAGAGGACAACCGGUCUUAUAAGCGUCUUGUAAAUGACACAUUUGGUGCGGUGGCGAAUCUUUUUCGACCGCAG